AGCAGUACAGUGUUUGACGAUAUGUACCGGUAAUUUCAUUAAUAGAGUAACUGCCUUUUUAAAUCGCGUGCGAAAUGAAGCUAUAAAGUCACCAUCUAAUAAAUUGAGUAAAAGUGAAAUCAAUAUGCUACAAAAUAUUGCAGAUCCAUCACGGGAAUUCACAUCAGAGAAAUUUAUUACGGAAGUUAGAAAUACAAAUCAACCACUGAGUA